rnacentral:tRNA from 1 species
GGGCCUGUAGCUCAGUGGCAAAGCAUUUGACGGCAGAUCAAGAGGUCACCGAUUCGAACCCGUUCAGCCCCU